ACCAAACUACCCUAAAGCAUCCCCAAACUGCUUGAUUGUGUCCACUACCAAGGUCUGGGACUUUGUCGCUAUUAUGAGGAACACGACUUUUCGGUGUAUAUGCUUAUACCUUCAUCAGGUGAAUGUAACCUGAUUUACUUUUAAGAAGUGAAGUAGUAAAUAGUAAUUACCUACGGUUUUGAAAUGUAAACUAUAUCAUGUAGCGGUUUGGUUAAUCGUCUCACUUGCAUUACUCAUCUUGUUCUUGUUCAAAGUCAUUUGAUGUGUUAGACGCAAAUAGACCGUUAAAGGUUCAAAUUUCCUAAAACUAAAAAAGAAUAGAAUAGCACAGUACACAAUACCAUCAAAGGUAUGAGAUAUGUCGCUACCACUAAUUAAACGUCGAAUCCUCGAUGCCUCAAUUUAACAGUGCAGUUGUAAAACUUUCUUCAAGAUCAUUAAGUAUUGGUUUCGGAAGAUUCAUACAAUAUGUGGAAGGUUUUGUCAUUUUGAAUAUUUAAUUAUGUUGUUCUUGAUAUCAAACAUGAGUGUAAAAAUUGCAUCACUAACUACCAAUUAUAUAUAAGUUUUGAUAUAAUUUCGACUAAUGAAUAGAUUAUGUAAUGUCUAUUCGUAAAGAAUGCCUCACAAACACAGUUAUACUGACAUGCCAGAAUUUAUUCUGACCUUUAAAGAUAUCGGGUUGGUCUUUAGCCAACUAUAUUUGUUCGCUAACUUGAUCCAUCAGUGUCAUCGUAUCACAGCUUGGUAGACCAAUGCUCAUGAUGUCAAUCACUGAAUCGUCUGGUCCAGGUUCGAUUAUUUACAGACCACUGUCAGACCAUGUCACAGUUUAACAUGGGCAGCUCACUUUAACACAAUGUACUACCUUUGUGCUGUUUUAUGUUUCUAUUUACAAUUUCAGAUGCGUUUUCUGCUACUGGUUGUUGUUGUGGCGCUGACUGUGACGGAUGUAUCAGGCGGCAGGUGGUGGAGAGGAGUUAAGACAGGGGCGCGCCGUAUAUGGGAUGAACACAAGGGAACGAUAAUACAACACGGCGUAAAGUUACUCCUCGGUGGACGAAGUAUUGACGACGUUGAUCAGAACGGCGAUGGUGUCCUGACUAGAUCCGAACUGCAGCAGCACAUGCAUGAACGUGAAGUUGAUGAUUUGCUGGACAUGCUAGAUGAAAACGGUGAGGGACAGGUAACGCGUGACGUUCUGGAAAGGUACGCAAACGAAGCACUCCUCAAUACAAACCAAUAAGACCGUCGGAGGUACUGAAGUAACUGGACAUAAAUCAAAUGUGAUCAGCAGGUCGAUUUUGAAUAAAGUGACGUCACUUCCAAU